AGAGAGAGAGAGAGAAAGGAGUAGAGAGAGGGAGAAAGAAAGGAGUAGAGAGAGAAAUGAGUAGAGAGAGAAAGGAGUAGAGAGAGAGAGAGAGAGAGAGAGAGAACGGAAGAUGAGUGUUGUUGAGGACUCUGAGGGAAGUCAGUGAUCCAUAUGAGCAGGUAGUGCUAUUUUACUGGGGGAGUCUCCUUAUGAGCAGGUAGUGCUGUUCCACUAAGGGAGUCUCCACAGUAUCUCUGCAGGCAGUAGCUCAGCUCCAUGUGAUCCUGUUGAGACUAUGCACCUCCCCAGUGGUGACAACAGCAAUCUCAGCUGCUAUUUUUGGACAAGAGCAACACCGAAACUCAGCCGCUUGUGUGUGUUUGAGAGUCUGUGUGUGUGUGUGUGUGUGUG
ensembl:lncRNA